UGCCUAAAUAGAGGCGCGGGUGCUAAGAAGACAGUAUCAAUGUUUACAGACAGGUAUUGUUGGAGGAGAAACCGCCGAAGGUUGAAUGAGGCUGUAAACUUGUUUUUCCUGGUGAUUUAGAGAAUAUCUACUUCACUGUCACAGGAAUGUGGAGUGCUAUUGAACUU
rfam:Sharpea azabuensis strain DSM 20406 genome assembly, contig: Ga0059086_1028